UGCCAGCCGCCGCGGUAAUACGGAGGGUGCAAGCGUUAAUCGGAAUCACUGGGCGUAAAGAGCACGUAGGCGGACUAGUCAGUCAGAGGUGAAAUCCCAGGGCUCAACCCUGGAACUGCCUUUGAUACUGCUAGUCUUGAAUAUCGAAGAGGGUGGCGGAAUGCGCAGUGUAGAGGUGAAAUUCGUAGAUAUUGCGUAGAACACCAGUGGCGAAGGCGGCCACCUGGGAGAAUAUUGACGCUGAGACGCGAAAGCGUGGGGAGCAAACAGGAUUAGAUA
rnacentral:rRNA from 1 species